ACGAACGCUGGCGGCGUGCUUAACCCAUGCAAGUCGAACGGAAAGGCCUGCUUUCCCUUGUGGAUUGCGGGUACUCGAGUGGCGAACGGGUGAGUAACACGUGAGUGAUCUGCCCCCAACUUGGGUAUAAGCCUGGGAAACUGGGUCUAAUUCCCGAUAGGACUGCAGGGUGGUGCCUGUGGUGGAAAACGAUUUUCUAGUGGUUGGGGAUGAGCUCGCGGCCUAUCAGCUUGUUGGUGGGGUAAUGGCCUACCAAGGCGGCGACGGGUAGCCGGCCUGAGAGGGUGGACGGCCACAUUGGGACUGAGAUACGGCCCAGACUCCUACGGGAGGCAGCAGUGGGGAAUAUUGCACAAUGGGCGGAAGCCUGAUGCAGCGACGCCGCGUGGGGGAUGACGGCCUUCGGGUGGUAAACUCCUUUCGACCGCGAGGAAGCCACCUGGUUGGAAGGGUGGUGACGGUAGUGGUAGAAGAAGCACCGGCUAACUACGUG
rnacentral:rRNA from 1 species